GAUGAAGAACGUAGCGAAAUGCGAUACGUAAUGUGAAUUGCAGAAUUCAGUGAAUCAUCGAGUCUUUGAACGCACAUUGCGCCCCCUGGUAUUCCGGGGGGCAUGCCUGUCCGAGCGUCAUUACAACCCUCAAGCUCAGCUUGGUGUUGGGCCCCGCCGCCCCGGCGGGCCCUAAAGUCAGUGGCGGUGCCGUCCGGCUCCGAGCGUAGUAAUUCUUCUCGCUCUGGAGGUCCGGUCGCGUGCUCGCCAGCAACCCCCAAUUUUUUUCAGGUUGACCUCGGAUCAGGUAGGGAUACCCGCUGAACUUAAGCAUAUCAAUAAGCGGAGGA
rnacentral:misc_RNA from 1 species